UAAUACUGGAUAGGCAAUUAUUCCUGUAAUGGUUUUUUGUUUAAAUGUUUUUUCGCCUAAGGAUGGGUCUGCGGCCGAUUAGGUAGUUGGUUAGGUAAUGGCUUACCAAGCCUUUGAUCGGUACGGGUUGUGAGAGCAAGAGCCCGGAGAUGGAACCUGAGACAAGGCUCCAGGCCCUACGGGGUGCAGCAGGCGCGAAACCUCCGCAAUGUGAGAAAUCGCGACGGGGGGAUCCCAAGUGCCAUUCUUAACGGGAUGGCUUUUCUUUAGUGUAAAAAGCUUUUGGAAUAAGAGCUGGGCAAGACCGGUGCCAGCCGCCGCGGUAACACCGGCAGCUCUAGUGGUAGCAAUUUUUAUUGGGCCUAAAGCGUCCGUAGCCGGUUUAAUAAGUCUCUGGUGAAAUCCUGUAGCUUAACUGUGGGAAUUGCUGGAGAUACUAUUAGACUUGAGACCGGGAGAGGUUAGAGGUACUCCCAGGGUAGAGGUGAAAUUCUGUAAUCCUGGGAGGACCGCCUGUUGCGAAGGCGUCUAACUGGAACGGUUCUGACGGUGAGGGACGAAAGUUAGGGGCGCGGACCGGAUUAGAUACCCGGGUAGUCCUAACUGUAAACGAUGCGGACUUGGUGU
rnacentral:rRNA from 1 species